AAGUCGUAACAAGGUUUCCGUAGGUGAACCUGCGGAAGGAUCAUUAUUGAAGUCGUUGAGGGUUGUAGCUGGCUUCGUAGAAGCAUGUGCACACCUUCAUUUCUUCUACUUAACCACCUGUGCACCUUUGUAGACCAUAUUAUUUCUUGUCUAUUGGCAAUGGACUGAGGGCUUGUCAUUGACUUGACUUGGCUUCAAUUUCUAUGGUCUAUGAUUUUCCUACAUACACAUAGUCUUCAGAGAGUGUUGUACAAGGUUAUAUAUUUUAUGACCUAUAAAUUCAAAACAACUUUCAGCAACGGAUCUCUUGGCUCAC
rnacentral:misc_RNA from 1 species